rnacentral:misc_RNA from 1 species
CAAUCGGCCAAUCUCCGCGCGAAAUCAUAGUAUCUGUUUUCAUUUCGCUUUCUCUCUCUCUUCCCUCUCUCCGUUCGAUGUCGCCGACGACUUCCUAAGCUUCGUUAACAAGGGAAAUCAAAUUUCGUUCAAAGAUACUGGAAACCGAUGGCUGCACCACCGGCAAGGGCUCGUGCUGAUUACGAUUACCUCAUUAAGCUUUUGCUUAUUGGCGAUAGCGGUGUGGGAAAG